GGGGAUUUAGCUCAGUGGCUUAAGUACCUGCCUGGCAAGCAUGAGUUUGUGAGUUCAAUCCCCG
rfam:Cavia porcellus supercont2_4 genomic scaffold, whole genome shotgun sequence.